rnacentral:rRNA from 1 species
AAAUCUCAACUUUAUUAGAAGAGACGCAUUUAUUAGAUAAAAAGCCAAUGCAUGCUUUUACAGUAUGGAAAUUGGUGAUUUAUAAUAACUUGGCAAAUCGCAAAGUGAAAACAGGCGAUAAAUCAUUCAAGUUUCUGACCUAUCAGCUUUCGACGGUAUGGUAUUGGCUUACCGUGGCAGUGACGGUUAACGGGGGAUUAGGGUUCGAUUCCGGAGAGGGAGCCUGAGAAACGGCUACCACAUCUAAGGAAGGCAGCAGGCGCGCAAAUUACCCAAUUCUAACAGUUUGAGAGAGGUAGUAACAAGAAAUAACAAUACAAGGCAAUUAAAAUGUUUUGUAAUUGGAAUGAUAGAAAUUUAAACCCUUUUUAAAGUAUCAAUUGGAGGGCAAGUCUGGUGCCAGCAGCCGCGGUAAUUCCAGCUCCAAUAGCGUAUAUUAAAAUUGUUGCAGUUAAAAAGCUCGUAGUUGAAGUUCUGCUAAAAGUAACCGGUCUGCUUUUAAUAAAAGUGGUAUCUUGGUGUGUAUUUAGCAAUGAUGUCCUUUGAAGUGUUUUUUACUUUAUUGUAAUAAAGCAUAUUCAGGACUUUUACUUUGAGAAAAUUAGAGUGUUUCUAGCAGGCCGACGCUUUGAAUACUGCAGCAUGAAA